rnacentral:lncRNA from 1 species
UUUAUAAUUUAGUAUGUAUGAUAUAUUUUUUUUUUCCAUGACAAAUAAAUCAUUUACAUAAAAGUAACCCGCUGCAUGCUUCAAUCUUCGCCAUGUAGGGUAGUUGAGGGAUGUUACUUUUCAAUGUAGGGGACCAUAUGCACCUUUAUAUCUCUUUAUUCUCUCUCUCUAUAUUAAUUGUUUAGAUGGAUAAAUUUACAUAUGCAAAUAAUUAUUCAAAGGUGCAAUCUUACCCUAGUUAUUGGUGUAGCUUUAAAAGAACAUCUCCAGGUUUUAUGUUGAUAAAGUUUGACAUGAUUUCUUAUUACUACAUAGACAUUAUGAUCCCAUGCAUAAUUUAACGCAAGAAUUUUCGGUUUUUUAUUAUUUUGCUUACAAAAAGCUAGAGUCGGAAUUUAGAAUUUAUAAGUAUAGAAUUUUGGUUUUUUAAUUUACUAGGUCUUAAGUUAAUAAUUAAUAUAUUUUCAAUAGAAUUAUUAAGAUAAUGAAUAUUGUAUUUAGACUAAAGCUAUUGAUUUAAUUCGACUGAACCUGUGAGUUGUACUGUAAUAUAACUCUACUCCAUGGCUUAGGAGACAACUAUAGAUAUAUAUACGAAUAUUUCUUUUUUAACUCCUUGCUUAGACGGAUAAUAUUAUUUAUUUAACACAACCAAAAGGUUAAAUACAUUUCUAUUGAAAGUUUAUCCCUCGAUCACAAGACUUGACUGGCGUAAUACAUGCGUGCAGUCACACACUACUUUACAAGAGCUUAUUAUUUAUUUAACCCAACCAAAAGGUUACAAAGUCCAAGCAUAUUACAUGGAGAGACAUUUCUAUUGAAAUUUAUCCCUCGAUCACAAGACUUGACUGGCUUAAUACAUACAUGCAAUUUCACACUUUGCAAGCUAUUAUUAUUUAGCAUAAUAAUACGAGACCUUGAAUUACUGAGACGCUUUAUUUGCUCGUUGUUUCUUCCUUUCAGAGAGCAAUA